GCUGGUUUGGCUCAGUGGAUAGAGCGUUGGCCUGCGGACUGAAGGGUCCCAGGUUCGAUUCCAGGAAAGGGCA
rfam:Myotis brandtii contig283610, whole genome shotgun sequence.